UAAGGAAUAUUGGACAAUGGUGGAAACACUGAUCCAGCCAUCCCGCGUGCAGGAUGAAGGCCCUCUGGGUUGUAAACUGCUUUUACCAGGGAAGAAACGCCCCGACUUGUCGGGGCCUGACGGUACCUGGGGAAUAAGCACCGGCUAACUCCGUGCCAGCAGCCGCGGUAAUACGGAGGGUGCAAGCGUUAUCCGGAAUCACUGGGUUUAAAGGGUGCGUAGGCGGCCUGAUAAGUCAGGGGUGAAAGCUCACGGCUCAACCGUGGAAUUGCCUUUGAUACUGUCAGACUUGAAUCGGCACGAGGCAGGCGGAAUGUGGCAUGUAGCGGUGAAAUGCUUAGAUAUGCCAUAGAACACCGAUUGCGAAGGCAGCCUGCCAGAGCCGCAUUGACGCUGAGGCACGAAAGCGUGGGGAGCGAACAGG
rnacentral:rRNA from 1 species